rnacentral:rRNA from 1 species
GAUGAACGCUGGCGGCGUGCCUAAUACAUGCAAGUCGAGCGAACAGACGAGGAGCUUGCUCCUCUGACGUUAGCGGCGGACGGGUGAGUAACACGUGGAUAACCUACCUAUAAGACUGGGAUAGCUUCGGGAAACCGGAGCUAAUACCGGAUAAUAUAUUGAACCGCAUGGUUCAAUAGUGAAAGACGGUUUUGCUGUCACUUAUAGAUGGAUCCGCGCCGCAUUAGCUAGUUGGUAAGGUAACGGCUUACCAAGGCAACGAUGCGUAGCCGACCUGAGAGGGUGAUCGGCCACACUGGAACUGAGACACGGUCCAGACUCCUAAGGGAGGCAGCAGUAGGGAAUCUGCCGCAAUGGGCGAAAGCCUGACGGAGCAACGCCGCGUGAGUGAUGAAGGUCUUCGGAUCGUAAAACUCUGUUAUUAGGGAAGAACAAAUGUGUAAGUAACUAUGCACGUCUUGACGGUACCUAAUCAGAAAGCCACGGCUAACUACGUG